rnacentral:tRNA from 1 species
UUGGAUAGCUCAGUUGGGUAGAGCAUCGGACUUCUCAUCCGAGUGUCGCGGGUUCGACUCCCGCUCCAAGCA